AAUAAUGUUGACCUAAAAUGGCGCGUUCCAAAAAUUCAAAAUGACCAUUGUACAGUUGUAAUUAUUGUGAAAAAGCGCCUUGUAAAUCAUUCUCAGCUUAGGUUGUUAUACAUAUAAUUAACUGCUGUUUAAACGCAUGCAUGUAUUUUGCACCAUUGUAUUUAUCUUUCAUGUUUUUCGUAUGAAUAUUAGAAUAUGCUAUUGUAUUUUCUGCAUCGUCCCGAUCAUGUAAAAUUUACAUAAUUUAAAAAUUACAACGUGUUGUAGUAUUCCGGAAUUUUAAAUGUAGGUUGGUUUUAGAGGAUAAUAUCGUUAUGUACUUGUAUCCGGUGUUAACUUUUUCAUUUGGAAAAUCGAAAGAUUUGACCCCACGCUUAUGUUUUUUCAGAAAAGAUAUCCACUGAACAAAUCAUCUGAAAACUAAGGCUAAUAGGAGAGGAUGAAGAAUACUUCUGUUAAAAGGUUGAAGUAACUGACGAGCAGGUCAAUCCAACUUGAACUUGAAGUGCAAGUGGGUCUUCAAAAAUGUGGACCACUCAAGGACUUUUCUGUUGGUUGAUGAUGGACUACAAACUGAAUAUUUAACAAAGAAAUCCACUUUGGUGCUUAUUGGCUACUAAUGAUGUGAACUUGUGCAUUUAUUAUACCAAGUACUUUUACAUUUCCUUGAUGAUACUAGACUUGCAUAUACCGAAUUCAGGUUUAGUUGAUUGAUUGCAGUUCUAAGUUCCUCUCGCAAGAUUAUAUCUCUCAUGUAUGAGACAUCAUUAAAUGCAGACAUUUUCUCUGUCCUCCUGUUGUGACAUGAGAGCUCGGACUUAGUUGUAAAAAUAUUUAUGAUGCAAGAGAAAAUAAAUGGCCAAGCCAAUGUAUGUAAAUGUUGAUAAUAACAUUAAAUAUUCUUUGAUAACUAG